rnacentral:misc_RNA from 1 species
GAUGAAGAACGUAGCGAAAUGCGAUAAGUAAUGUGAAUUGCAGAAUUCCGUGAAUCAUCGAAUCUUUGAACGCACAUUGCGCCCCCUGGCAUUCCGGGGGGCAUGCCUGUCCGAGCGUCAUUUCUGCCCUCCAGCCCGGCUGGGUGUUGGGCGCUGUCCCCCCGGGGACACGCCCCAAAGGCAGUGGCGGCGCCGCGUCGGGUCCUCGAGCGUAUGGGGCUUUGUCACCCGCUCGGGACGGACUCGUCGGCGCUGGUCUUCCUCCAGGCGACCCUUCGGGGCUCGUCCUCCUUCGGUUGACCUCGGAUCAGGUAGGGUUACCCGCUGAACUUAAGCAUAUCAAUAAGCGGAGGA